GAGGGUAUAGCUCAGUGGUAGAGCAUAUGCUUUUAGCAUGCACAAGGUCCUGGAUUCAAUCCCCAGUACCUCCG
rnacentral:tRNA from 1 species